UACGUAGGCAGCAAGCGUUGUUCGGAAUUACUGGGCGUAAAGAGUGUGUAGGCGGUGCUUUAAGUCUGUUGUGAAAUCUCCCGGCUUAACCGGGAGGGUGCGGCGGAAACUGGAGUGCUUGAGGGUGGGAGAGGUAAGCGGAAUUCCUGGUGUAGCGGUGAAAUGCGCAGAUAUCAGGAGGAACACCGGUGGCGAAGGCGGGUCUCUGGGCCGAUACUGACGCUGAGGAGCGAAAGCGUGGGGAGCGAACAGG
rnacentral:rRNA from 1 species